CAAUAAGCGGAGGAAAAGAAACCAACAGGGAUUGCCUCAGUAACGGCGAGUGAAGCGGCAACAGCUCAAAUUUGAAAUCUGGCUUCUUUCAGGGCCCGAGUUGUAAUUUGUAGAGGAUGCCUUCGGGUGUGGCCCCGGCCUAAGUUCCUUGGAACAGGACGUCACAGAGGGUGAGAAUCCCGUAUGUGGCUGGAGGUCUAUACCCAUGUGAAGCUCCUUCGACGAGUCGAGUUGUUUGGGAAUGCAGCUCAAAAUGGGUGGUAAGUUUCAUCUAAAGCUAAAUACUGGCGGGAGACCGAUAGCGCACAAGUAGAGUGAUCGAAAGAUGAAAAGCACUUUGGAAAGAGAGUUAAAAAGUACGUGAAAUUGUUGAAAGGGAAGCGCUUGCGACCAGACUUGCCCUCGGUUGAUCAACCGGUGUUCUUCACCGGUGCACUCGGCUGAGGUCAGGCCAGCAUCAGUUCAGGCGGUUGGAGAAAGACCUUGGGAAUGUGGCUCCCUCCGGGGAGUGUUAUAGCCCGUGGUGUCAUGCGACCAGCCUGGACUGAGGACCGCGCUUCGUGCUAGGAUGCUGGCGUAAUGGUCGUAAGCGACCCGUCUUGAAACACGGACCAAGGAGUCUAACAUCUAUGCGAGUGUUUGGGUGUAAAACCCAUGCGCGUAAUGAAAGUGAACGGAGGUGGGAACCCUUGAGGGUGCACCAUCGACCGAUCCUGAUGUCUUCGGAUGGAUUUGAGUAAGAGCAUAGCUGUUGGGACCCGAAAGAUGGUGAACUAUGCCUGAAUAGGGUGAAGCCAGAGGAAACUCUGGUGGAGGCUCGCAGCGGUUCUGACGUGCAAAUCGAUCGUCAAAUUUGGGUAUAGGGGCGAAAGACUAAUCGA
rnacentral:rRNA from 1 species